CGCGGCCUAUCAGCUUGUUGGUGAGGUAAUGGCUCACCAAGGCGACGACGGGUAGCCGGCCUGAGAGGGCGACCGGCCACACUGGGACUGAGACACGGCCCAGACUCCUACGGGAGGCAGCAGUGGGGAAUAUUGCACAAUGGGCGAAAGCCUGAUGCAGCGACGCCGCGUGAGGGAUGACGGCCUUCGGGUUGUAAACCUCUUUCAGCAGGGAAGAAGCGAAAGUGACGGUACCUGCAGAAGAAGCGCCGGCUAACUACGUGCCAGCAGCCGCGGUAAUACGUAGGGCGCAAGCGUUGUCCGGAAUUAUUGGGCGUAAAGAGCUCGUAGGCGGUCUGUCGCGUCGGAUGUGAAAGCCCGGGGCUUAACCCCGGGUCUGCAUUCGAUACGGGCAGACUAGAGUGUGGUAGGGGAGAUCGGAAUUCCUGGUGUAGCGGUGAGAUGCGCAGAUAUCAGGAGGAACACCGGUGGCGAAGGCGGAUCUCUGGGCCAUUACUGACGCUGAGGAGCGAAAGCGUGGGGAGCGAACAGGAUUAGAUACCCUAGUAGUCCACGCCGUAAACGGUGGGAACUAGGUGUUGGCGACAUUCCACGUCGUCGGUGCCGCAGCUAACGCAUUAAGUUCCCCGC
rnacentral:rRNA from 1 species